GGUGGAUCGUCGUCGAAAUCCAGGAAGAGAUUAUCUGGCCAAUGCUGGGUGUCUAAGGCCUUUGAAACGCAUAGAAGACAAAGAUCUCUUGGUGGAGGAUAUCAUCAUGUUUCAGCUGGUUCAUCGAGUUAGUGGAGCACUUCAAAGGUUCAGGGAGGGGAUGAAGACCCUUGGUGUUCUUGAUGCAAUAAGAAUGCACCCAGAUGCUUUCAGACUGCUGUUUUGUCACGAGCCAUCCCCACUCACAGCGGAUGUACUAGAACUGUCAGCAGUGGGCAGGAACAAAAGAAGGGCAGAGGAAUGUGUGCAUUUUGGAGGGACUACCUGCUGGAUGUUGAGGGUAAGUAUUAUUGCUAGUU